AGCAUAUCAAUAAGCGGAGGAAAAGAAACCAACAGGGAUUGCCCCAGUAACGGCGAGUGAAGCGGCAACAGCUCAAAUUUGAAAUCUGGUCCCUAGGGCCCGAGUUGUAAUUUGUAGAGGAUGCUUUUGGUGAGGUGCCGCCCGAGUUCCCUGGAACGGGACGCCACAGAGGGUGAGAGCCCCGUCUGGCUGGCCGCCGAGCCUCUGUAAAGCUCCUUCGACGAGUCGAGUAGUUUGGGAAUGCUGCUCAAAAUGGGAGGUAUAUGUCUUCUAAAGCUAAAUAUUGGCCAGAGACCGAUAGCGCACAAGUAGAGUGAUCGAAAGAUGAAAAGCACCUUGAAAAGAGGGUUAAAUAGUACGUGAAAUUGUUGAAAGGGAAGCGCUUGUGACCAGACUUGGGCGCGGCGGAUCAUCCGGGGUUCUCUCCGGUGCACUUCGCCGCGUCUAGGCCAGCAUCAGUUCGUCGCGGGGGAAAAAGGCUUCGGGAACGUGGCUCCUCCGGGAGUGUUAUAGCCCGUUGCAUAAUACCCUGCGGUGGACUGAGGACCGCGCAUCUGCAAGGAUGCUGGCGUAAUGGUCAC
rnacentral:rRNA from 1 species